CGAGCGCGUGAUCAGCAUGGGUUGAACCCCUGCUCCACCUCAAUUCUUCAGAAGCGAAGAAGACCUCGAUGCGAGAAUAUCUUAGAGUGCUACCCUUUGCACUUUUGAUAAGUUAGCCUAGGAACGAGUGCGGACUUUCCAUAAGUCAUUUUCUCGUGAGAGACGUUCCUAACUCCUUCUUGCAUCAAUUUGCCACGUGCUUUUGUUGAUACAGAACACGGAGUCCCUAGGUCACGCUUUGAGGAGUCGACCCGGUUCGAUUCUUCGCCCGGCCUGUUCCUGCUUCUCACCACCACCCCUCUCCGUCUGGACCACUGUUCGCUGGACUUCGCCUGGACGCUGCUGCUUUACACGGACCCCAUCCGAGUACGACACCGCAUCGGCAAAUCAAGACGAGUUCCAACGCAACGCUUGAACCCAGCUAAGAUCUUAUAAUUAUACUAUUGUAUAAAAUUCCUUGUUGUAUAUUAUUGAUGUAUUCAUUGAUGUUUGCUAUUCUUUGUGUUGAUGUUUCAGUGGUUUGACUUCAUUGAGCUUGUUGUAUUAAUUCAUGCUGAACCUAUGCAUACUUGUUGACUUUUGACUUUCACAAAAAAUUGAAGUUUGUUGACUUUGAAUACUUUGCAAAAUUUGUUUCCUUGGAUUCACAUGAUCUGAGAUUUUGGUAAAUUGUUUUCACAUCCUUUGAUAUUUUUUGGUCUUCCCAAUUAACUUUUGUUGCAAUUGUUUGUUUUUUUCCCCAUUGUUUGGAUUGCAUUGUUGUUUGAAACGUUACACCACUGAAAAGUCACACGUUGAUAUUUGGAUUUUUGAUGAUUCUUUUAUAAUUGAUUUUUGACCAAUCACUGUUGACAUUGACGAUUUAUGAUGUGUUGAUGAAAUAAUAACAAAUUGAAUUCAUAGAGGAAAGGACCAACUUUAA